AGAGUUUGAUCCUGGCUCAGGAUGAACGCUGGCGGCGUGCCUAACACAUGCAAGUCGAACGGUUAAGCCACCUUCGGGUGGGAAUACAGUGGCGAACGGGUGAGUAACACGUGACCAACCUGCCCCUUGCUCCGGGACAACCUUGGGAAACCGAGGCUAAUACCGGAUACUCCUCGCCCCCCUCCUGGGGGGCCCGGGAAAGCCCAGACGGCAAGGGAUGGGGUCGCGGCCCAUUAGGUAGUAGGCGGGGUAACGGCCCACCUAGCCCGCGAUGGGUAGCCGGGUUGAGAGACCGACCGGCCACAUUGGGACUGAGAUACGGCCCAGACUCCUACGGGAGGCAGCAGUGGGGAAUUUUGCGCAAUGGGGGAAACCCUGACGCAGCAACGCCGCGUGCGGGACGACGGCCUUCGGGUUGUAAACCGCUUUCAGCAGGGAAGAAAUUCGACGGUACCUGCAGAAGAAGCUCCGGCUAACUACGUGCCAGCAGCCGCGGUAAUACGUAGGGAGCGAGCGUUAUCCGGAUUCAUUGGGCGUAAAGAGCGCGUAGGCGGCCUCUCAAGCGGGAUCUCUAAUCCGAGGGCUCAACCCCCGGCCGGAUCCCGAACUGGGGGGCUCGAGUUCGGUAGAGGCAGGCGGAAUUCCCGGUGUAGCGGUGGAAUGCGCAGAUAUCGGGAAGAACACCGAUGGCGAAGGCAGCCUGCUGGGCCGAAACUGACGCUGAGGCGCGAAAGCUAGGGGAGCGAACAGGAUUAGAUACCCUGGUAGUCCUAGCCGUAAACGAUGGGCGCUAGGUGUGGGGGGCAACGCCCUCCGUGCCGCAGCCAACGCAUUAAGCGCCCCGCCUGGGGAGUACGGCCGCAAGGCUAAAACUCAAAGGAAUUGACGGGGGCCC
rnacentral:rRNA from 1 species